UCCCCGAUAGCUCAACGGUAGAGCGGCUGACUGUUAAUCAGUAGGUUCUAGGUUCGAAUCCUAGUCGGGGAGCCA
rnacentral:tRNA from 1 species